UUAGAUACCCUGGUAGUCCACGCAGUAAACGAUGAUUACUAGGAGUUUGCGAUAUAAUGUAAGCUCUACAGCGAAAGCGUUAAGUAAUCCACCUGGGGAGUACGCCGGCAACGGUGAAACUCAAAGGAAUUGACGGGGGCCCGCACAAGCGGAGGAGCAUGUGGUUUAAUUCGAAGCAACGCGAAGAACCUUACCAGGUCUUGACAUCUAGUGCCAUCCU
rnacentral:rRNA from 1 species